UCUGUAGCUGUAAACAAGGGAGAAAAAAAAGCCAGUCCAUGCACCGCUUACUACCUGAAGGAGCCUUAAAAAAAAAAAAAAAACACAAAAAAAAACAACAACCCGGGCUGGAGGAGGGCGACAACCGCAUUCCCGCUGCCCCCGGAAGAGAUUGCGGCUUAAAAAAAAUAAUAAUAAUAAUAAAUUAAGAAUAAAUAAGAAGAAAGAAAGAAAAAAAUCCAAAUCGCAGCGAAAAAAAAAACAAAAACAAAAAAAAAGGAGCAAUUUGGGGAAAUCCGCGUUUUCCUGCGGCGGAGAUCGGGGCGCGGAGCCGCCGCCAGGUUUGCAGCCGCCGGGCUGGGGCGAAGACGCCGGAGUUUGGGUGCAAAUUCCAAAGAUUUGGGAAGAGUUGGCUAGCUAGAAUUAUUGUAUUUCUUGAGCGCUGCGGGCCGGUAGGUGAACGCUGAGAGCCGGGGCGGUUUUGUUGGCGUCUCCGUUGGGUUUUGGGUCGUUUUAGGGGCUCCGUGAGGCCCUAAAAAUGCGUUUCAGAGGGAAAAGGAAAAAAAAAAAAAAAAAA